AGAGAAAUAAUGAGUACUAUUAUAUCGAAUCAUAAGAAACACGGUGAAAAUACUUUUCCCGAACAACCAUAACACUGAAAAUCUCAAUAUACUAAAAAUCUCACAACUAGUCUGACAAAGCCUCUACUACUAAAGAACCAGAGAGCCAUUGGAACAGGUUCCCAACUGAUUUACACUCAACAGAAAAGAAAUAAAAAACUACUAGAUAAACUGAAUAUCUAAAGAUAACUGGUCCUCGAACCAUGACGACUCACCACUGUGGAGAUAUAGAUAAAGGCACUCGG
rnacentral:lncRNA from 1 species